UACGUAGGGUGCGAGCGUUAAUCGGAAUUACUGGGCGUAAAGCGUGCGUAGGCGGUUCGUUAAGUUCGUCGUGAAAGCCCCGGGCUCAACCCGGGAACUGCAUUUGAAACUGGCGGGCUUGAGUGUGGCAGAGGGGGGUGGAAUUCCGCGUGUAGCAGUGAAAUGCGUAGAGAUGCGGAGGAACACCGACGGCGAAGGCAGCCCCCUGGGCCAACACUGACGCUCAGGCACGAAAGCGUGGGGAGCAAACAGG
rnacentral:rRNA from 1 species